rnacentral:lncRNA from 1 species
UUCAGGAAAUGUUUCCUAGAUGCUGACCUAUCAAUUUCAUUUGUUGGCACACGUGCGACUUUGUCAGUUGGUAAAAGUUCUGUAACAAUUAAUUUUGACUUAUUCGAAGCCAAAGCAGCUGAGAAAAAAGUUGAACUACAAAACAUUCUAUUUAGAUUAGCUACCACCGCAACGUCACUUGAAAUUGACCUUGAAAAGGCAAAUAAAACAAUAGACACUCUAAAAGCACAAAAAUCGCAAAAUACUGGAGGUUUGAUGGACUUUGGGCCUAAAAUGGGAACUAACCCUGCUAAAGUUAAACCAAAGAAAACAGGGAUGAGUGUUGUUAAUCCUACAAGCAAGAAAAGAAAGGCUGCAACAGGAGUCGUGUUCGAUUAGUAUCAUCAUUAGAUUCGUAACAUUUAUGUAUCUACUAUGUCUGUUAUUUCAUUAGUUUUUUUAUAUUAAAUAUUAAUAAAUACAUGUUGUGAAAUCACUGAAAUUUUUAUACGGUCUUAAGAAUUGAAAUAUUGUUUUCCUUCUUCGUAACUAAAUUUUGCCGAUGAUGAUGUGAGAAAUCGACAUAAUGAUGAUAAUGACGAAAUAGGCGUAAUAACUCAAUCUUAACGUUGAUCACAUGACGAAAUAGGCGUAAUAACUCAAUCUGAACGUUGAUCACUGAUGAACCCUUGUUGACGGACAAUAACAUGUAUACCUUGCAAUGCUCCUAUUUCUAAUAAUUACUGAAAAUAAACACAUAU